UACGUAGGUGGCAAGCGUUGUCCGGAAUUAUUGGGCGUAAAGCGCGCGCAGGCGGUCCCUUAAGUCUGAUGUGAAAGCCCACGGCUCAACCGUGGAGGGUCAUUGGAAACUGGGGGACUUGAGUACAGAGGAGGAAAGCGGAAUUCCACGUGUAGCGGUGAAAUGCGUAGAGAUGUGGAGGAACACCAGUGGCGAAGGCGGCUUUCUGGUCUGUAACUGACGCUGAGGCGCGAAAGCGUGGGGAGCAAACAGG
rnacentral:rRNA from 1 species